rnacentral:rRNA from 1 species
GAUGAACGCUGGCGGCGUGCUUAACACAUGCAAGUCGAACGGAAAGGCCCAAGCUUGCUUGGGUACUCGAGUGGCGAACGGGUGAGUAACACGUGGGUGAUCUGCCCUGCACUUCGGGAUAAGCCUGGGAAACUGGGUCUAAUACCGGAUAGGACCACAUUUUGGAUGGUGUGGUGGAAAGUUUUUCGGUGUGGGAUGAGCUCGCGGCUUAUCAGCUUGUUGGUGGGGUAAUGGCCUACCAAGGCGUCGACGGGUAGCCGGCCUGAGAGGGUGUACGGCCACAUUGGGACUGAGAUACGGCCCAGACUCCUACGGGAGGCAGCAGUGGGGAAUAUUGCACAAUGGGCGCAAGCCUGAUGCAGCGACGCCGCGUGGGGGAUGACGGCCUUCGGGUUGUAAACUCCUUUCGCUAGGGACGAAGCGCAAGUGACGGUACCUGGAGAAGAAGCACCGGCUAACUACGUG